AGAACGAACGCUGGCGGCAUGCCUAACACAUGCAAGUCGAACGAGACCUUCGGGUCUAGUGGCGCACGGGUGCGUAACGCGUGGGAAUCUGCCCAAAGGUUCGGAACAACUCAGGGAAACUUGAGCUAAUACCGGAUGAUGUCGCAAGACCAAAGAUUUAUUGCCUUUGGAUGAGCCCGCGUAGGAUUAGCUUGUUGGUGAGGUAAAGGCUCACCAAGGCUACGAUCCUUAGCUGGUCUGAGAGGAUGAUCAGCCACACUGGGACUGAGACACGGCCCAGACUCCUACGGGAGGCAGCAGUGGGGAAUAUUGGACAAUGGGCGAAAGCCUGAUCCAGCAAUGCCGCGUGAGUGAUGAAGGCCCUAGGGUUGUAAAGCUCUUUUACCCGGGAAGAUAAUGACUGUACCGGGAGAAUAAGCCCCGGCUAACUCCGCGCCAGCAGCCGC
rnacentral:rRNA from 1 species